rnacentral:rRNA from 1 species
GGAGAGCGGCUCAAAAGGGCGUGAAACCGUUUAGAAGUAAACGAAUGGAGCCGGCGGUAAACCUGCGGGAUUCAACCUGGAGCGCUGCACUUCGGUGUAGUCGAAGGGUGCAUUUCCCAUGGGUUGGCGCCUAAACCGACAGGCCUUUCUGGUACAUGGUGGUUUGUUUGUGGCCUGUUGCUUCGGUGACAGAGACCCGUCAUUCUGACCCUACCGAGUUAGCGCUAGUCGAGAAUUGACCGUGCCUGCCCGAAGGUUCGUUUCCGGUUUGCACGUUGGGCGGUUGGACCUUUGUGUCUUGCUUAUGCAGGAUUCCGAAACUCUCGCACCCAUUGUUACCACCGGUACGAUUUAGGUGCUCAUGGUUUUUGGCGUUUUAGUCGGCCACCCAUUCGACCCGUCUUGAAACACGGACCAAGGAGUCGUACAUGUGCGCAAGUCAUUGGGUGACAAAACUCAUAGGCGUAAUGAAAGUGAAAGUUAGCUUCAGUUAAUUUARGUGGGAUCCCUGUCAAACGUCAGGGCGCACCACCGGCCCGUGCCGACUUCAUUGCAAGUGGCGCGGCGCAAUAGCGUGCGUGUUCGGACCCGAAAGAUGGUGAACUAUGCUUGAGUAGGGUGAAGCCAGAGGAAACUCUGGUGGAAGCCCGAAACGGUUCUGACGUGCAAAUCGAUCGUCAGACUCGA